CUUUACUAUCACCAGAGCACGAUCGCAGGAACAAUAUAGGAUGAACAAUCAUGUUACCUGCUUAAAGGCGCAGCGGGCUGGGUGAACAGCUUUUUCGGCUAACAGGACAAGUAAAAUAAUCCAGAAGAAAAACCACUGGAUCACCAAAGUUACCGAGUGCGCGAUGAUUCGGACGCUGCGCGGUGGCUCGGAGAACAGAGAGUUUCCCUACAUCGGGGUACCAUCCGGAGUCCAACGGCCAAACUGAGAGGAUGAAUCAAGAACUGGAAACCACUCU